UGUUUCUGUUGUUUUCUUCCUUCUGCUGAGACUUCUUAUCAGCUCCUGCUUGCAUUACAGUGAGGAGAAAGAUCGCCUCAAAAGCUGGAGGGGCAGCGGCAGCCACGUCGGCACUCAGCAGAAGGGCAUGGCCGCCUGCCUCCUCCUGGUGCGGAUCCCCCUGCGGAUCCCUGCAGGGGCCGGACUGCGUGUGCGGUCAUGAUGUCGGCAUACACCCAGGCUCUGGAGGGAAGAAAUGCGGCAGGCAACUUGGAAAGAAAAGAGCAGUGAACCCUACCACAGAGAAAGCACUUUCCAAGGGACCACAGUUGUGUGUCUGCGCCAGCUGCCAUGUUGUGAGGAUAACUCAAGCUGCCUUGUGGAAAGGAUGCUGAAGAGAGGAACUGAGGCUUCAGCCAUGUGAGUGAGCCACCUAGAAAGGGAUCCUCCAGCUUCAGUUGAGCUUUCAGAGGACUCCAGCUACAUCUGACAUCUUGAAUGAAUUUUCAUGAGAGAUCCCACCUCAACACUUUUUAGCUAAGCUGCUUCUGACCCACAGAAACCU